AAUUCGCCCUUAGAGUUUGAUCAUGGCUCAGGUUGAACGCUGGCGGCAGGCUUAACACAUGCAAGUCGAGCGGUAGCACAAGGGAGCUUGCUCCCUGGGUGACGAGCGGCGGACGGGUGAGUAAUGUCUGGGAAACUGCCUGAUGGAGGGGGAUAACUACUGGAAACGGUAGCUAAUACCGCAUAACGUCGCAAGACCAAAGAGGGGGACCUUCGGGCCUCUUGCCAUCAGAUGUGCCCAGAUGGGAUUAGCUAGUAGGUGGGGUAAUGGCUCACCUAGGCGACGAUCCCUAGCUGGUCUGAGAGGAUGACCAGCCACACUGGAACUGAGACACGGUCCAGACUCCUACGGGAGGCAGCAGUGGGGAAUAUUGCACAAUGGGCGCAAGCCUGAUGCAGCCAUGCCGCGUGUGUGAAGAAGGCCUUCGGGUUGUAAAGCACUUUCAGCGAGGAGGAAGGUGGUGAGCUUAAUACGCUCAUCAAUUGACGUUACUCGCAGAAGAAGCACCGGCUAACUCCGUGCCAGCAGCCGCGGUAAUACGGAGGGUGCAUGCGUUAAUCGGAAUUACUGGGCGUAAAGCGCACGCAGGCGGUUUGUUAAGUCAGAUGUGAAAUCCCCGGGCUCAACCUGGGAACUGCAUUUGAAACUGGCAAGCUAGAGUCUCGUAGAGGGGGGUAGAAUUCCAGGUGUAGCGGUGAAAUGCGUAGAGAUCUGGAGGAAUACCGGUGGCGAAGCGGCCCCCUAGACAAAGACUGACGCUCAGUGCGAAAGCGUGGGGAGCAAACAGGAUUAGAUACCCUGGUAGUCCACGCUGUAAACGAUGUCGAUUUGGAGGUUGUGCCCUUGAGGCGUGGCUUCCGGAGCUAACGCGUUAAAUCGACCGCCUGGGGAGUACGGCCGCAAGGUUAAAACUCAAAUGAAUUGACGGGGGCCCGCAAAAGCGGUGGAGCAUGUGGUUUAAUUCGAUGCAACGCGAAGAACCUUACCUACUCUUGACAUCCAGAGAACUUUCCAGAGAUGGAUUGGUGCCUUCGG
rnacentral:rRNA from 1 species